GCAAGUCGAACGAUCUCUCUUCAGAGGGGGAUAGUGGCGAACGGGUGAGUAACGCGUGGGUAAUUUUCCUUUAGGCUCGGAAUAACACGUCGAAAGACGUGCUAAUACCGGAUGAGACCACAGCCAUACUUUGGCAGGGGUUAAAGAUGGGGAUCCUGAGAAUGGACCUGUCACCAAAAGAUAAGCCCGCGUCCUAUCAGCUAGUAGGUGGGGUAAUAGCCUACCUAGGCGAUGACGGGUAGCUGGUCUGAGAGGAUGGUC
rnacentral:rRNA from 1 species